rnacentral:rRNA from 1 species
GAGUAGUAAGAGUUAAGAUCUUUAAACUCAAAAAAUUUGGCGGUACUUUAUCUUAUUAGAGGAACCUGCUUAUUAAUUGAUAUUCCACGACUUUACUUUACUUUUAUUAAGUUAUUUGUAUACCGUUGUCAUAAAUCUACUAAGAAGUAAUCUUUAAGAAUUUUUAAUAGAAUUCAUGUUAAAUCAAGGUGCAGUUUUUAAAAGGUUAAAGUGGGUUACAUUUUUUAUAAUGAAUGAAAAUUAUUGUUGAAAUAAUAGUAUAAAUAGGAUUUAAAAGUAAAGAAAAUGAUUAAAGAUUUUACAUGAAUAUAGAUUCUAAAGUAUG